CCUACGGGAGGCAGCAGUGGGGGAUAUUGGACAAUGGGGGCAAGCCUGACCCAGCGAUGCCGCGUGAGUGAAGAAGUAUUUCGGUUUGUAAACUUCUAUCAGAAGGGAAGAGAGGAAGACGGUACCCUGAGAACGAACCACCGCUAACUACGUUCCAGCAGCCGCGGUAAUACGUAGGUGGCAAGCGUUUACCGGAUUUACUGGGUGUAAAGGGCGGGUAGCCGGGAAGGCAAGUCAGAUGUGAAAUCCGGAGGCUCAAACCCCGAACUGCAUUUGAAACUGUUGUUCUUGAGUGCUGGAGAGGCAGGCGGAAUUCCUAGUGUAGCGGUGAAAUGCGUAGAUAUUAGGAGGAACACCAGUGGCGAAGGCGGUCUGCUGGACAGUAACUGACGGUGAGGCGCGAAAGCGUGGGGAGCAAACAGGAUUAGAUACCCCUGUAGUC
rnacentral:rRNA from 1 species